CUAUUUUAUCACAAAGGCCCGGUUUUUUUCCAUGAGUGUACAUUUCAUUUCUUCAGUUAAAGCCUUCAGAGAGACACAAUAAAGUUGGACCAGGGGAUUUGUAAUUGUCAACUAUGUCAGAAGAAAGGAAACAUCUCUUUGAGAACAGCAUUAGACCAUGCCCCCCCAAUCUCAAAUGAUUGAAGUUCAUGAACUAACUAUCUUGAUGGAAUCCCAUCAAGGUCACUGGACCCUGUUCUUUUUUCUACGUCAAAUC
rnacentral:lncRNA from 1 species